GAUGAAGAACGUAGUGAAAUGCGAUAAGUAAUGUGAAUUGCAGAAUUCAGUGAAUCAUCGAAUCUUUGAACGCACAUUGCGCCCCUUGGUAUUCCGAGGGGCAUGCCUGUUCGAGCGUCAUUACACCACUCAAGCACUGCUUGGUAUUGGGCAUCGUCCGUCGAAAGGCGGGCGUGCCUCGAAGACCUCGGCGGGGUUUCUCCAACUUCGGGCGUAGUAGUGUUAAAUCGAACGUCUUAUAAGCUUGGUGGGACUCCAUUGCCGUUAAACCUUUUAUUUUCUAGGUUGACCUCGGAUCAGGUAGGGAUACCCGCUGAACUUAAGCAUAUCAAUAAGCGGAGGA
rnacentral:misc_RNA from 1 species